rnacentral:lncRNA from 1 species
CUGCACGCCAUAAGAGCACCCUAUCGAAUGAGAAGAGAGGACCUUUAAAUUUUUCUUACUCCUAUGAUUGGAUGGCUUGGUGAUCAACCCAAUUCAAAUACUUACUAAUCGGAUCAUCUAAUCUAAUCACAUAUCAUAUAUAUUUGAAUUUAGAUCUAAUUUAAAUUAUAUCAGAUCUGAUCACAACCUUAGAUCAUAUUUAAAGCAGAUCAUAAACAUCAUAUGCAAUAUAAAAAAUUAGAUUUUAUCAAAGAUCAACACAAACUAGGACAACCUUUUCACUGUAAGGGUUAAACCCUAUAGUAGGAAAACCUUAUUUCAGUUUGUGUGUUGAUCAUUAAUUAAA